GGGUAUGGUGCAUAAAGCCCACUCGGAAGAGUCAGUGUUCGGGCAGUUAUGGUGCUGGUAGUGGGUGUGGAGGAACUCGAGGUUUACAAUUAUUCCUCAAUAAAAAGUAGAACAAGUAGAAUAUGAAGUUGAAGUUGGAUAUGAAGUUACAAUUCAUAUAUAAAGAAGGGAAAAGGCAACAUGAAGAAAAUGAAGAGUGAAACAUAUAAAUAAUUCAUGAAAAUCUAUUGAAUUACUGAAACAAAAAUAAAAUAUUGUUUCUUGACAGAGGAUAUCCAUAAAAUAAUAUUGGAUUUUUUUUUAGGUUUGUCAACUUCACAAAAGCAACCUCAAAGAGCUUCAGUUAUUACAUUGGAAUGGAUUGUGUUGUAUAUUUUAUUAUGACCAUGUCCGCUCCAAUUGCAAGAGGAAACGUGAAUCUCUACAAUAUGGUAUUUACAACUUGCAGGAGACUAAAUUAUUUUGUAGUUAAUAAUAUAGUUAUAUUCACAAAGUAUUGUAAAAUCUUCAUUAGUAGCAUCAGACUAAUUGAAUAAAUGCUUCCAUGUGCUUGAAUAGGAUUUGUACAUCAUUAGGUGCAAAGCUCCUUGUGAAAGGCUACAUAUAGUGAAGCUGCAUAUAUAAGAGGUGGGACUUGAAUCAGUUUUAUUCUUAACACAUCGCAAAAUAUUUAUGACCAUCUUUACAACCUAUUUUUCUGCAAAGCUAUUCUCGUACCAUGAUGUAGCUGAGUGGAACAAUAUUGGAAGGACGAUGAGAGGUGGCUUGUGCUUGAAGUAGGGUUACUUUAGAAUAUCUAUGAAAUAAUAUUGGAAAAUUUUUUGUAGAUUAGUCAACCUCACAAAAAAACUUCAAAGAGCUUCAGUUAUGACAUUGGAAUGGAAUGUAUUGUAUAUUUGAUUAUGAACACAUAAGUUCCAAUUGUAAAAUGAAUAGUGAGAUUCUAAAGUUAUCAUUAAAUGAUAUUUACAACUUACAGUAAA